UACGUAGGGUGCGAGCGUUGUCCGGAAUUAUUGGGCGUAAAGAGCGUGUAGGCGGCUUGAUAAGUCUGCUGUGAAAGUCCAGGGCUCAACCCUGGAAAGCCGGUGGAUACUGUCGAGCUAGAGUCCGGAAGGGGCGAGUGGAAUUCCUGGUGUAGCGGUGAAAUGCGCAGAUAUCAGGAGGAACACCAAUGGCGAAGGCAGCUCGCUGGGACGGUACUGACGCUGAGACGCGAAAGCGUGGGGAGCGAACAGG
rnacentral:rRNA from 1 species